GACGAACCGUGCGAACGUUGUUCGGAAUCACUGGGCUUAAAGGGCGCGUAGGCGGGUUCGCAAGUCUGUGGUGAAAUCCUCCAGCUUAACUGGAGAAGUGCCGUGGAUACUGCGAAUCUUGAGGAGGGUAGGGGCGUCUGGAACGGUCGGUGGAGCGGUGAAAUGCGUUGAUAUCGACCGGAACUCCGGUGGCGAAGGCGAGGCGCUGGACCCUUUCUGACGCUGAGGCGCGAAAGCCAGGGGAGCAAACGGG
rnacentral:rRNA from 1 species